rnacentral:rRNA from 1 species
GACGAACGCUGGCGGCUUGCCUAAUACAUGCAAGUCGAACGCUGAAGGAGGAGCUUGCUCUUCUGGAUGAGUUGCGAACGGGUGAGUAACGCGUAGGUAACCUGCCUGGUAGCGGGGGAUAACUAUUGGAAACGAUAGCUAAUACCGCAUAACAGUAGAUGUUGCAUGACAUUUGCUUAAAAGUUGCAAUUGCAUCACUACCAGAUGGACUUGCGUUGUAUUAGCUAGUUGGUGGGGUAACGGCUCACCAAGGCGACGAUACAUAGCCGACCUGAGAGGGGGAUCGGCCACACUGGGACUGAGACACGGCCCAGACUCCUACGGGAGGCAGCAGUAGGGAAUCUUCGGCAAUGGACGGAAGUCUGAACGAGAAACGCCGCGUGAGUGAAGAAGGGUUUUGGAUCGUAAAGAUCUGUUGUAAGAGAAGAACGAGUGUGAGAGUGGAAAGUUCACACUGUGACGGUAUCUUACCAGAAAGGGACGGCUAACUACGUG